GGAUUGUGGCUCAGUGGUAGAGUGCUCACCUAACAUGCAUAAGGCACUGGGUUCGAUCCUCAGCACCA
rnacentral:tRNA from 1 species